ACGAACGCUGGCGGCUGCUUAACACAUGCAAGUCGAACGGAGUGGCGAACGGGUGAGUAACGCGUGAGCAACCUGCCUAUGGCAGUGGGAUAGCCUCGGGAAACCGGGAUUAAUACCGCAAAGUCAUAGAUGGGCUCGCGUCUGAUUAGAUAGUUGGUGAGAGAACAGCCCAACAGGGCGACGAGCAGUAGCCGGUCUGAGAGGAUGAACGACAACAUUGGAACUGAGACCCGGUCCAAACUUCUACGAGAGGGAGCAGUGGGGAAUAGUGCACAAUGGGGGAAACCAUGAUGCAGCGACGCCGCGUGAACGAAGAAGGUAUUCGUAUCGUAAAGUUCUGUCCUAUGGGAAGCAGUACCAGAGAAGAAAGCUCCGGCUAAAUACGUGCCAGCAGCCGCGGUAAUUC
rnacentral:rRNA from 1 species